UCUCAACUCUCUGAAUCCUCUCUUGUAACUAUUGCAAAAAUGUUUCUUUCUUCCUUUAUUUUUUGUUUUGAUCGUAGAUUGGUAUUGGUUUUUCUUCCGGGGAGAAUGGGACCGUAACUGGCCUUUCUUUGGCGGCUUUGCCAUCACUGGCACUCUUAUCACCAGAUUCUCUAUCAUCCUCACCGAGUAGGAUGCGAAGAAUUCCCCAUUUGUGCAGAGGCACAAGAAAUGACAACAACAAUAUCAAUUGAAGAUGUUCAUUGGGAGGUGAAAUAUGGAAAGCAUUAUUGGGGCAUGCGAAUAUGAUCAAAUUCCAUGAUGCUUUUGAGGAUGAAAACAAUGUCUAUGUUGUCAUGGAAUUAUGUGAAGAUGGAGAACUAAUGGACAAGAUUUUAUCAAGGUAUUAAAGGAGAAGGACUGCUUCUGCUCCCUCUGAUACUUCAGAUAUUUUUAGUUGCUUUUUAGCUUUGACUCCAUACUUUUUGAUGAGGAUGCUCCAAUGAGGAUUACUGAUUUUGGUCUAUCUUAUUUUGUUAGGCCAGGUAACAUUUUCUUGCUGAUAAGCUCAUCUCUGUGAAAUUGUCCUAAUGUUCGUUGUGAGAUUGAUUUUGUUUGACUUGAUAACCUCACAUAUAAAGCAUUUUGAUUGCUGCACUCGAAGGCUCAAAAUUGAACUUGUCUCCGGAAACUCUGUGAAUUUGGAAAUGUGCGCUCCUGGUGCCAGAUCAAUGCUCUCUUUGAAGAUUUUUUGUUCGAGUCACUUUAUGGUUAUAUAGAUUAAUUACUCGUGGGAAAUCAGGUUUUGUUUAGUCAAAACGAUCUCAUUGCAUGCCCCACUGCAGCUGGCCCCUGCAAUGUAACAUGCAAGUGUGGAAAUAAGUGCAACUUAUUGUUCUAUGUCCAAUUAGCAAUCAUUUUCUUCUAUGUUCUGUUGUUCAGUAGAAAACUUGAUUUGAAAGGCUAAGUUGUGUAGGUAUAAAAAGCAUACACUGGAUUUGGGUCUGUGAAACCAAAACUGUUUAUGUUUCAUUGUUUUCUUUGAAUUUUGAUCGUUUAGCACCUAGCUUAAUAACUCAUAAACAAAGGGAAAUGGUAAAUGGUUGUAGAA